rnacentral:rRNA from 1 species
UACGAGGGGGGCGAGCGUUGUUCGGAAUUACUGGGCGUAAAGCGCGCGUAGACGGUUUUGUAAGUCAGAUGUGAAAUCCCUGGGCUCAACCUGGGAACUGCAUUUGAGACUGCAUGGCUAGAGUAUCGAAGAGGGAAGUGGAAUUUCCGGUGUAGCGGUGAAAUGCGUAGAUAUCGGAAGGAACACCAGUGGCGAAAGCGACUUCCUGGUCGAAUACUGACGUUCAUGUGCGAAAGCGUGGGGAGCAAACAGG